rnacentral:lncRNA from 1 species
CAUAAAUCUGAGAAACAAACCACAUUUGUUCCGGACCUGGAAUGCCUUCCGGACCUGGGAUCCUGCCUUCUGAUGGAGAUAAUCAAAGGAGAAGAAAUGUCAGAUCACUAAAAUGUUAAGGUUUCUGCCAGGAUGUAUAAUUCCAGAGGCUAUGUCAGGUACACCUACACAAAUCCAAAAAUUGUCAAAGUACAGUACAAAGAUGCCUCAGUGUGAGAAGACCACCUACGUUGACAUAAUCUCUUCCUGUUGUCUCCUGAAGCUGGCUGCACAUUACAUGAGAAUCUCUUGGGCUGACAGCACCCGCAUUCCUGACAAGCACAAUUACACACCCAGCGCACACAGGCCCUACCAGCAGUGAGUGAGGCAUGUUGUGAACCCUGUCUCAGACCUCUUUGGUGGAUCCAUGGACCUAUCUCCACUAGCUGCAAAUGCAGACAGACUGGUAGAAUAAAGAAACACCAAGUUCCUGUUGGGUACCGGCUCAGCAUUCGGCCUGUAUGUAGGCCUUCUCUGUUUUCCUAGAUGCAGCUUGUUGGCAGUGAGACGAACACCUGGUAGACUGGCCCUGUUGGGUUUGAACAGAUUGUUGCACUGAUACCUUGCUGUUGCAUAUCAUUUAUUAUGUAAGAGCACAGUACCUAUUUAAAGUACAAUUUGGAGAGUUACUGUUAUGAAUAGACAGCUUUACAUUUCGGUAUGUUUAUGCAACAGCCUACAACACGAUCUUGCACUACCGGUCAAAGGUUCAAGAGUUUUUCUUUAUUUUUGCUAUUUUCUACAUUGUAGAAUAAUAGUGAAGACAUCAAAACUAUGAAAUAACACAUAUGGAAUCAUGUAGUAAGCAAAAAAGUGUUAAACAAAUCAAAAACAUAUUUUAUAUUUUACAUUCUUCAAAAAGCCACCCUUUGCCAUGAUGACAGCAUUGUACACUCUUGGCAUUCUGUCAACCAGCGUCACCUGGAACACUUCUCCAACAAUCUUGAAGGAGUUCCCACAUACGCUGAGCACUUGUUGGCUGCUUUUCCUUCACUCUGCGGUCCGACUCAUCCCAAACCAUCUCAAUUUGGCUUAGGUCGGGAGAUUGUAAAAGCCAGGUCAUCUGAUGCAGCACUCCAUCACUCUCCUUCUUGGUUAAAUAGCCCUUACACAGCCUGGAGGUGUGUUUUGGGUCAUUGUCCUGUUGAAAAACAAAUGAUAGUCCCACUAAGCCCAAACCAGAUGGGAUAGCGUGUCGCUGCAGAAUGCUGCGGUAGCCAUGCUGAUUAAGUGUGCCUUGAAUUCACCAGCAAAACACCCCCACUUCUACUCCUCCAUGCUUCACGGUGGGAAAUGCACAUGAGGAGAUCAUCUGUUCACCCACACCGCGUCUCACAAAGACACGGCGGUUGGAACCAAAAAUCUCCAAUUUGGACUCCAGACCAAAAGACAGAUUUUCACCAGUCCAUUGCUUGUGUUUCUUGGCCCAAGCAAGCCUCUUCUUAUUAUUGAUGUUCUUUAGUAGUGGUUUCUUUACAGCAAUUCAACCAUGAAGGCCUGAUUCACACAGUCUCCUCUGAACAGUGGAUGUUGAGAUGUGUCUGUUACUUGAACUCUGUGAAGCAUUUAUUUGGGCUGCAAUAUCUAAGGCUGGCUGGUUAUACGAUAUACCGGCAGGAUAGAACAGCGACAUCUGGUAAGACAAGGGGCGGCGGUCUAUGAAUUUUUGUAAACAACAGCUGGUGCGUGAUAUCUAAGGAAGUCUCAAGCUAUUGCUCGUCUGAGGUAGAGUUUCUCAUGAUAAGCUGUAGACCACACUACCUACCGAGAGAGUUUUAAUCUGUAUUCUUUGUAGCUGUUUACAUACCACCACAGAGGCUGGCAGAGAGGCUGGCACUAAGAUAGCAUUGAAUGAGCUGUAUUCCGCCAUAAACAAACAAGAAAACGCUCACCCAGAGGCGGUGCUCCUAGUAGCCGGGGACUGUAAUGCAGGGAAACUUCAGUUUUACCAAAUUUCUAUCAGCAUGUUAAAUGUGCAACCAGAGGGAAAAUAACUCUGGACCACCUAUACUCCACACACAGAGAUGCAUACAAACUCACCCUCUCCCUCCAUUUGGCAAAUCUGACCAUAAUUCCAUCCUCCUGAUUCCUGCUUACAAGCAAAAAUUAAAGCAGGAAGCACCAGUGACUAGUGGUCAGAUGAAGCAGAUGUUAAGCUACAGGACUGUUUUGCUAGCACAGACUCCUCCAAUGACAUUGAGGAGUACACCACAUCUGUCAUUGUCUUCAUCAAUAAGUGCCUUGAUGACGUCGUCCCCACAGUGACAGUACAUACCCCAACUAGAAGCCAUGGAUUACAGGCAGCAUCCACACUGAACUAAAGGCUAGAGUUGCCGCUUUCAAGGUGUGGGACUCUAACCCGGAAGCUUAUAAGAAAUCCCGCUAUGCCCUCCAACGAACCAUGAAACAGGCAAAGCGUCAAUACAGGACUCAGAUUGAGUCAUACUACACCGGCUCUGACGCUCGUUGGAUGUGGCAGGGCCUGCAAACCAUUACA